rnacentral:rRNA from 1 species
GAAACCGUGUACGUACAAGCAGUGGGAGCACGCUUAGGCGUGUGACUGCGUACCUUUUGUAUAAUGGGUCAGCGACUUAUAUUCUGUAGCAAGGUUAACCGAAUAGGGGAGCCGAAGGGAAACCGAGUCUUAACUGGGCGUUAAGUUGCAGGGUAUAGACCCGAAACCCGGUGAUCUAGCCAUGGGCAGGUUGAAGGUUGGGUAACACUAACUGGAGGACCGAACCGACUAAUGUUGAAAAAUUAGCGGAUGACUUGUGGCUGGGGGUGAAAGGCCAAUCAAACCGGGAGAUAGCUGGUUCUCCCCGAAAGCUAUUUAGGUAGCGCCUCGUGAAUUCAUCUCCGGGGGUAGAGCACUGUUUCGGCAAGGGGGUCAUCCCGACUUACCAACCCGAUGCAAACUGCGAAUACCGGAGAAUGUUAUCACGGGAGACACACGGCGGGUGCUAACGUCCGUCGUGAAGAGGGAAACAACCCAGACCGCCAGCUAAGGUCCCAAAGUCAUGGUUAAGUGGGAAACGAUGUGGGAAGGCCCAGACAGCCAGGAUGUUGGCUUAGAAGCAGCCAUCAUUUAAAGAAAGCGUAAUAGCUCACUGGUCGAGUCGGCCUGCGCGGAAGAUGUAACGGGGCUAAACCAUGCACCGAAGCUGCGGCAGCGACGCUUAUGCGUUGUUGGGUAGGGGAGCGUUCUGUAAGCCUGUGAAGGUGUGCUGUGAGGCAUGCUGGAGGUAUCAGAAGUGCGAAUGCUGACAUAAGUAACGAUAAAGCGGGUGAAAAGCCCGCUCGCCGGAAGACCAAGGGUUCCUGUCCAACGUUAAUCGGGGCAGGGUGAGUCGACCCCUAAGGCGAGGCCGAAAGGCGUAGUCGAUGGGAAAC